GAGGGGAUUAGUGGCGAACGGGUGAGUAACACGUGGGCAAUCUGCCCUGCACUCUGGGACAAGCCCUGGAAACGGGGUCUAAUACCGGAUACUGACCCGCUUGGGCAUCCAAGCGGUUCGAAAGCUCCGGCGGUGCAGGAUGAGCCCGCGGCCUAUCAGCUUGUUGGUGAGGUAAUGGCUCACCAAGGCGACGACGGGUAGCCGGCCUGAGAGGGCGACCGGCCACACUGGGACUGAGACACGGCCCAGACUCCUACGGGAGGCAGCAGUGGGGAAUAUUGCACAAUGGGCGAAAGCCUGAUGCAGCGACGCCGCGUGAGGGAUGACGGCCUUCGGGUUGUAAACCUCUUUCAGCAGGGAAGAAGCGAAAGUGACGGUACCUGCAGAAGAAGCGCCGGCUAACUACGUGCCAGCAGCCGCGGUAAUACGUAGGGCGCGAGCGUUGUCCGGAAUUAUUGGGCGUAAAGAGCUCGUAGGCGGCUUGUCACGUCGGUUGUGAAAGCCCGGGGCUUAACCCCGGGUCUGCAGUCGAUACGGGCAGGCUAGAGUUCGGUAGGGGAGAUCGGAAUUCCUGGUGUAGCGGUGAAAUGCGCAGAUAUCAGGAGGAA
rnacentral:rRNA from 1 species